rnacentral:rRNA from 1 species
AUUGAACGCUGGCGGCAUGCCUUACACAUGCAAGUCGAACGGCAGCACGGGAGCAAUCCUGGUGGCGAGUGGCGAACGGGUGAGUAAUAUAUCGGAACGUGCCCAGUCGUGGGGGAUAACGCAGCGAAAGCUGUGCUAAUACCGCAUACGAUCCAUGGAUGAAAGCGGGGGACUCGCAAGAGCCUCGCGCGAUUGGAGCGGCCGAUAUCAGAUUAGGUAGUUGGUGGGGUAAAAGCUCACCAAGCCGACGAUCUGUAGCUGGUCUGAGAGGACGACCAGCCACACUGGAACUGAGACACGGUCCAGACUCCUACGGGAGGCAGCAGUGGGGAAUUUUGGACAAUGGGCGCAAGCCUGAUCCAGCAAUGCCGCGUGCAGGAUGAAGGCCUUCGGGUUGUAAACUGCUUUUGUACGGAGCGAAACGGUCUGCUUUAAUACAGUGGGCUAAUGACGGUACCGUAAGAAUAAGCACCGGCUAACUACGUGCCAGCAGCCGCGGUAAUACGUAGGGUGCGAGCGUUAAUCGGAAUUACUGGGCGUAAAGCGUGCGCAGGCGGUUAUAUAAGACAGAUGUGAAAUCCCCGGGCUCAACCUGGGACCUGCAUUUGUGACUGUAUAGCUAGAGUACGGUAGAGGGGGAUGGAAUUCCGCGUGUAGCAGUGAAAUGCGUAGAUAUGCGGAGGAACACCGAUGGCGAAGGCA